AUAUUACAUGUGACACGCUUGAAUCCAGAAUCCCACCUUAAUUUCCUAAAGUGUGAAGUCAUGGAGUCCUUAAAAUAAAGCGCUUCAAGCUGGUGUUUAGCCUCUGCUUGAAGAUUGUUCGAGGCGGUUGUGGGAACUGAUCAUUGCACCAUCAAUUCCACUCAGAAAGCUUUCGGUUCUGAUGAUUUCAGGAAGAUUCCCAAUGGCGUAAAUGUAACUGAAGAACGGAUGCAUAUAAUUUGGGAUAGCAUGGUGGUAAGUUUUGAUUUCAAAUGUUGUUUUUUGUGAUGGGUACUAAGUUGGUUCUAUUGCCGGUAUUUCUGUUUUCUGACUUCAUUCAAUAUAUGUA